AUUGAACGCUGGCGGCAGGCCUAACACAUGCAAGUCGAACGAGUGGCGGACGGGUGAGUAAUGUAUGGGAAACUGCCUGAUGGAGGGGGAUAACUACUGGAAACGGUAGCUAAUACCGCAUCCCAUCGGAUGUGCCCAGAUGGGCUUAGCUAGUUGGUGGGGUAACUGCUCACCAAGGCGACGAUCCCUAGCUGGUCUGAGAGGAUGACCAGACACACUGGAACUGAGACACGGUCCAGACGCCUACGGGAGGCAGCAGUGGGGAAUAUUGCACAAUGGGCGCAAUCCUGAUGCAGCCAUGCCGAGUGUAUGAAGAAGGCCUUCGGGUUGUAAAGUACUUUCAGCGGGGAGGCGUGACCCGCAGAAGAAGCACCGGCUAAAUCCGUGCCAGCCGCCGCGGUAAUUC
rnacentral:rRNA from 1 species